AUUUCCUUUUGUGUCAUAACUCGGUAUGAUUGUGUGAAUUGCAAGAUGUGCAAUAAAACUAAGUUUGGGGUGGAAAUCUUGAAAGAGAAGGCAAGUGCAUAAUAUGAGAUCAUACAAAAAGAAAAAUAGUAUGUAUUCUCUCUUUAAAAGAAAAAAAAGAAGAAAAAAAAGAGAAAAGAAAAACAAAAGAGAAAAAUGCACUUGCCGAGACUUAAGACUCUAACAACAUAUGAAAUGCUCGGAAAAUUCGAGUAGGAAAAGAGUCAAAAGAGUGAAAUUAACCCCUAGAGUAUACGCGAUGCACGAGAAAAAGAGAAAGAAAAAUCACAUAACAUGACUACCGAGUUCAAAACCCUUUGUUAUCCCAUUUUUUGUUUAUCCCACCGUACCCAAGCC
rnacentral:lncRNA from 1 species